GCUUUAUAAAUUAAUUAAAUUUUAUUGAGUUAAAAAAUUUAAAAAUUUAAUUUAAUUGUUUUAUUUUAUUGGGGCGAUAUAAAUAUAAAUUGUAUUAACUGUUUGAAAUUUAUACAAUAAUAAUUGAUUUAAAUUUUAAAGAUCCUCUUUAGUGAUUUUAAGACCAAGUU
rnacentral:rRNA from 1 species